CGGCCGCGUCGACCGCAAGGUUGAAACUCAAAGGAAUUGACGGGGCCCGCACAAGCAGUGGAGUAUGUGGUUUAAUUCGAAGCAACGCGAAGAACCUUACCAGGUCUUGACAUCCGAUGCAUAGCGCAGAGAUGCGUGAAGUCCUUCGGGACAUCGAGACAGGUGGUGCAUGGUUGUCGUCAGCUCGUGUCGUGAGAUGUUGGGUUAAGUCCCGCAACGAGCGCAACCCUUAUCGUCAGUUACUACGCAAGAGGACUCUGGCGAGACUGCCGUUGACAAAACGGAGGAAGGUGGGGAUGACGUCAAAUCAUCAUGCCCUUUAUGACCUGGGCUACACACGUACGUCGACGCGGCCG
rnacentral:rRNA from 1 species